rnacentral:rRNA from 1 species
UACGUAGGGCGCAAGCGUUUGUCCGGAAUUAUUGGGCGUAAAGAGCUCGUAGGCGGUUUGUCGCGUCUGCUGUGAAAACUCGAGGCUCAACCUCGGGCUUGCAGUGGGUACGGGCAGACUAGAGUGCGGUAGGGGGAGACUGGAAUUCCUGGUGUAGCGGUGGAAUGCGCAGAUAUCAGGAGGAACACCGAUGGCGAAGGCAGGUCUCUGGGCCGCAACUGACGC